GGUGGCAUAGCUCAGUGGUAGAGCAACCGGCUGUUAACCGGUUGGUCGUAGGUUCAAAUCCUACUGCCACCGCCA
rnacentral:tRNA from 1 species